ACCACUCUCACUGCGCCUGAUCUCAUCAGAUCUUAGAAGCUGAACAGAGUUGGGCCUGGUUAGUACUCAGAUGACAAUGCCAUGAUACCUAAUA
rnacentral:rRNA from 1 species